rnacentral:lncRNA from 1 species
CUCAAGUCUGUGUGUAUAUAAAUAAACAUGGAGAUUGUGGUCCGUACCUGGAUCCACAGAAGGUUCGGCAGCUACCUAACCACUUCGGCCCAGGCCCUGUGAAUGUGAUUCUCCGGCGGACUGUGCAGGCCUGUGUGGAUUGUGCCAUUCAGCCCAAGGAUGUCUUUCUAUUUCUUAAGCCAGAUAAUAGAGGAGGAGAAAUGAUAACUGCCUUCUUUGAUGGGAAAGUUCAUACUGUUCAGCUCCCUCCAGUGAAUAGUGCAUCAUUUGCACUUCGCUUUCUUGAAAAUUUCUGCCGCAACCUGCACUGUGAUAAGUUUUUGAGUAGCCAGCCUUUCAGACUUAAGACUCAUGUUCAUACCUCUGCUACAAACAUAGAUCAGAGCAAACCAGAAAAUGAGGAACCAAAGGGAAAGAGAAGCUUCAAACGAUUGUCUUCACAACCUCAACCUUCUGCUCCUGUCUCAUCUAAGGUUCCCAGAAAGUCUGGGCGAGCCUCUAAAGGAAAUUGAUGGGAAAGCUCUGCUACUACUGAAGAGUGAGCUGAUAAUGAAGUAUAUGGGGCUGAAGCUAGGACCAGCAUUAAAACUAUGUUACUACAUUGAAAAACUUAAAGAAGUGAAAUAGAAUUGAAAAUGUGCACAUUUAGUUUAGAGAUAAUCCUCAGGUA